UUUUCUUUUCUUUUUUUUUUGAUUUUCUGACUUCCAAGGUAUACCUCGCAAUUAUUAAACAAAACGUAGAUGGAAGAAUGUAUUAAUUAUACUGUUAUGCAUACAACAACACAACUGGCAUUCCGUCAUACACUGAUGCACCCAGUACUGGCACUCCUAAAGCUGAGUGUAUGGUGUUCUGCAAGCUUUACAAUGACACAACAGUGAGUUUACUGUUUGAAGCCUCUGGCAAGUUCUCACGUUUCUGCUUGGCUUAUCAUAAUAACACUUUCGUUUCAGAGGCUCAGCCCAUUCUGAGUAAAGCAGCCCAACCCACACUAGUUUUCCCAUGGGAGAAACAGAAGGCUGGAGGAGGCAGCCGUUAACGCGUCCCUUCCCCCAAACGACAUUCUACUUGUGUUCAGAGAGUGUGAAACAAUAGGAAGACGUCGCACUGUGGCCAUCAAGACCUGGGUGAAUAGCCCUGCUAAAGGGGUAACUCUCUGGGUCUUCUCUCAGAGCAAAGGUGACAUCUUGUGGCAAGUGGACAUCAUGAGUAAAAAGUCAAGGUCAGACUAACAUUACAGAUAUCUCAUUAAAAAGAAGCAGAAGAGGCUGUUCUUUUGCCCAGUCCCGUCAUCAAAGCCCCCCUCCCCCAUUUGUUUUUUUUUUCUUGUCAAACUUCCCAAUGAUUGUGCGUGUUCCUUUUCUUGAAAAAGCUUUUUAAACAGCGCACAACUACUAAAGAACAUAUUCUUUAUAUAUUCACAUUUUCAAACAAUCUACUGUGAUGUACUACUGAUAUGCAGUUACAAUAUGCAUAAUUCUCCAGACAUUGUUCAUAAAUAAAGCAUGUUAUUGAAAACUCUUGAAAGUUAAGUUAGAAUUUAAAAAAAACAAACUACAUCAGUGCCCUGUGUGUCACGUGAUUUGAUAAUUGCAACAACAAAAAAAAAGAUUUCCAUUGCCUAAUUAUUCUUGUGGUGAACUACAAUGUGAGGCAUUGUUCUUUUGGUGUAACACCACCAGUAUACACAGUAUUCACAUUGUCUGAAUGCUUUGCAGAUUUAAAGAAUUAAUGGCGGGAACAAAAGGAUCAGAGCUGCUGCAUUAAAAAUCCCUUAUUUUUUUUGUAUAUUUACCUAAUUUAUACUGAGGUUUGCAAUAAAUAAAGACGUUUUCAGAAUGAA